AAUCAACGCUGGCGGCGUGCCUCAGACAUGCAAGUCGAACGCGAAAGUUCCCUUCGGGGAGCAAGUAGAGUGGCGCACGGGUGAGUAACACGUAGGUAAUUUGCCUUCGGGUGGGGAAUAACAGUCGGAACGACUGCUAAUACCGCAUAAUGCAGCGGCUCGACAUCGAGACAGUUGUUAAAGCGGGGGAUCCUUCGGGACCUCGCGCCUGAAGAGAAGCCUGCGGCAGAUUAGCUAGUUGGUGAGGUAAUGGCCCACCAAGGCUACGAUCUGUAACCGGCCUGAGAGGGCGGUCGGUCACACUGACACUGACAUACGGGUCAGACUCCUACGGGAGGCAGCAGUCGGGAAUUUUGGGCAAUGGGCGCAAGCCUGACCCAGCAACGCCGCGUGAAGGAUGAAAUUUUUCGGAAUGUAAACUUCGCAAGAACGGGAAGAAUAAGUUCAGGCAAACAGCCUG
rnacentral:rRNA from 1 species